AGUCAAUCACGCUCUAACAGUAAAGCCCGCCUCCUGCUGACCAGAACCCGUCUGCUGUAGAAAAAGGGAGAUGGGUGUCGGUGAGCCGUUGAGCGCCGUUCACUCCCAAGCAUUGAGGACUCACUCACGGGCGCCCUCUGCUGUUUAGCAGGACUGUUGUCUAACUGGGAACAGGAAGUGGCCAGGCUCUGGUAUGAUCGCCGCCCUCAGAUGACCAGUUUCGACGGUCUCCACUGAUUGGUCGGGAACUUGGACCGAGGCCCUGUGUGAUUGGUCGGAGUCGCAGCAUCAGCGGUUUACAGAAUGGAUUCAAGGCCAGCAGGAGAAGAAAAGAGAAUGAGCUAUGUCUAAUGGCUCAGAUGUCAAGAGUGCAUCAGGAACUGAAAUGGAUGCAGUGAGUGCAUCCAGAAGAGGAAUGUGCAUCAAGCAUUGAAUGGCUCCUUCCUCAAUGCCUUCCAUACCAGCUAAUGGCUCUCUUCUGCACUGACCUGGAUUGUCCCAAGGGGAGUCUUCUAAAGCUUUUAAGUUUUAAUAUCAGCUCCUCCACCAGCUCAAAUCAUGCUGUCUACUCCAUCCUGUUGGCCUAGAAAAGCUAUGUGAAAGAGCAGCAUCUCCUGCUACUUCUGAGGUGUGGUUUUCAUCCCUGUGUAUUGUAUUACUGAACAAGUAAAAGAAAACAAACAUGUAGUUUCCAUAUGUAUGCCUCCGUAGGGCUUUCCAAGCUUCCAUAGAGCUGGAAAUCUCCUAAAAGAGCAGCAUGGCUGGAUGAGCUGUGCCCUAUGCAGGAUGUAAAUGGCACAGAAGACUUGUGGAUACCCUAAAAAUGUAACCUGUCUUCACCCGAUGCCUUCACCCACUCACCACUACUCCAUGGAUCACCACCUUAUCAUGGUGGGUUUGCGUGCUUGAAUGAUCCUAGGAGCUAUGUUGUCUGGAGCAAAAGCUCCUGGUAGGGUCUCCCAAGGCAAACUGGUCCUAGGUGACAGGUCAGACAAAGUGUGAUCCAAAAAUACCCUUAUGAAAAUUAAAAAGGACUUGCUUACCCUGCCUGGAUUAGGGUCACUGGGGCACCACCCUGGAGCCAGGCCUGGGGGAGGGGCAUGCCAAAAAGCAUCUGGUGGCUGGGCAUUUACUCAUGGUGCCCAGUCAGGCCCAGCCCGAAGGAGCUACAUGAAUCCCCCCUUCCCUCGACCCAUCACCGAUGGGAGAGGCAGUAGUAGGGGUUCGGUGCUUUGUGGAUCGGGCAGUGGCCGAAGGCGUGGGCCUUGGCAUUCUGAUCUUCGGUUGCUGAAACUGGCUUUUGGAACUUGGAAUGUUACCUCACUGGCAGGGCAGCAGCCUGAGUUGGUGUGAGGUUGAGAUACCAGCUAGAUAUAGUCGGGCUCAUCUCAACACACAGCUUGGGCUCUGGGUGCAAUCUCGGGGGCUGGACUACUCUCUUCUGGAGUUGCCCAUGAUGAGGUGGCGGGCAGGUGUGGGCUUUCUUAUAGCCCCUCAACUC